rnacentral:lncRNA from 1 species
GCGUCUAAAUGGCUCAGGCAGCCCUUCAACCCAGCACACCAUGGAAUCACUCUAUUUCCUGGGCUCUUCUGUUCAACCUCCUGCAUUUCUGUUUUUUUAUCUGUAAAUUGGGGCUAAUACUCACCUUCCAAGUUUGUUAAAUAGAAGUUAAAUAAGAUUUAUCUAUAAAUCUUGCAUCUAUCUAUCUUUCUUUUUAUCUAACUAUCUGUCCAUCUGUCUGACUGUAUAUCUAUCUGUCUAUCUACCAUGUCUGGCGCAUAACACACGAAGUUAGGGAGGCACCAAAGCUGGAAUAAACAUUGGUUCCCUUCUCACUGUGAGCUCCUCUGCUCCCUUUUCCAGCCUCCAUGUAUAUAGCCUCAGAUUCGACAGAGCAGGAUUGAAGUUUUUGCCUGUUAGUUUGUUUUCUUUGUCUUGUCCAAUAUCUCUUCUCCAUGGCUCCGGGCCUUCUGCUUUGCUGUUUUAAGCGCACACUGAGCUCACCAGGGAGAACCUGUGUCUGAAGCCACCCCCUGCGACUGCCCUGAGCAGAGUCAGUUUUCCAGGCUCCAUGUAGUGUCCUCAUCCUGCAUUCUUCCUUCACACCCCCCAAGCCUCCUUCUGCCUCUGCGCGAUCCUCUGCGUGGACGCAUUUCAGAGGCACGGACAUCAUUGUAACAGAGGUGGUUUCAUAUCACUUCCUUGUCUUUUGUUUCCCAGCCUUGGAGGAGGCUGUCUGCAAACACUGGCAGUAUUCUUAGAGGAAGCUUGGGUUUGGGGCCUAGACACAUCCAGUCUCCAUGAAACGAUGAGAACAGCUGUCCUGAAAUGACAGAGCAAGAAACCUGCGCAGCAACAGCCUCAGAGAGGCCCCUUAAUAUACCUUCUCUACUAUGAAAAAUCAGAUUUUGUGAACAAUUUGGCAUGAGGAGAGAAAGGAACCUGAAGUUUUUAGCAAGGAAGCUUCCUGUCUCCAAGGGGAUUUUUUCCCACAGAAAUAUAUUGCUGAUUGGAUGUUGCCUCUCUAAUUUUGGAGACCAUAUGUUCUAGGUAUUCCGGGAAAAAUCUGCAUUUCAAAUCCUGGAUCCAUUGUUCCCAAAAGCCAUGUAAGAAUCCCAACAGAGAUAGGUCCCUCUCAUGGAUAUGUCCUAUGUCCCAGGGAUACCGCUCAAAGCAUUUUGUGGCUGAAGACAUUUAAUCUUUCAUAGAAACUCCUGAAGAAGAUGUUAUUGCUAUUAUAAUCAUAUGUAUUUGGAAAUGAAGACUUUGAAAGGUUCUAACUUAUUCAACAUUUCUCAACCAGCAUGUGGCAAAGUUCUGAAAGUCUGUUAUUCUAACCAACAUCCUACCUUGAGGAGCAAUGAUGUUCACCUGUCUGGUUGCCACAACUCACGUCCUUCUGUGGGCAGCAGAGUUCCAAGACGUUCCCCAAGAUCUCAUUUUCUGGAGGUGCAUGUCUCCCGUGACCCCCUCUUUGGAUUGCCCGCAGAGCCCGUGAAGAUGGUGUUAUCACUCCUGUGAUUACUUUACUGAUCAGGUGACUUUGAGUCAAUCAAAAGGUAGAUUAUCCAGGUGUGCCUGAUUUGAUCAGGUGGUCCCUUAAGGAGGCUUAAAAUGACCCUUUCUGAAGUAGAGUAAUUGGAAAAGUAAGAGGGUCUAUGGGUGGGGUCACCUGGCAAGGAACUGAACUCAGCCUCCAUGAGCUCUGGCCACCAGCUGACCUUUAGCAAGAAAGCAAAUCUUUCUUUGGUCAGUCUCCACAACAGGACGAAGCUGGCUGAGCCCUUGCCUUUGGCCCUGUGAGAUGCUGACCCGAGUAUCCAGCGAACACGUGCCAGAGUCCUGACCCAUGGAAACUGAGAUGAUGAGUCUGUGUUGCUUUAAGCCACUGUGUCUACAGUAAUUGGUUAGACAGCAAUAGAAAACUAAUAAACCUCCCUCUUUUUCAUUUAC